UGAGUACGAGAUGCUACGGCAUCGAAGCAGUCUAUGUCAUACUUCCAAGAAAAGCUUGCACUGUCAGAAACAGAUAAUGCCUGUACCAUAACCGACACAGGUGGGUAGGUAGAGUAUACUAAGGGGCGCGAGAUAACUCUCUCUAAGGAACUCGGCAAAAUGACUCCGUAACUUCGGGAGAAGGAGUGCCUUAUUUUUAAGGUUGCAAUAACAAGAUCCAAGCAACUGUUUACCAAAAACACAGGUCUCCGCUAAGUCGUAAGACGAUGUAUGGGGGCUGACGCCUGCCCAGUGCCAGAAGGUUAAAGAAGUCGGUUAGCAUUCGCGAAGCUGGUAACUGAAGCCCUGGUGAACGGCGGCCGUAACAAUAACGGUCCUAAGGUAGCGAAAUUCCUUGUCGGGUAAGUUCCGACCCGCACGAAAGGCGUAAUGAUUUGGAUACUGUCUCGGAGAGGGGCUCGGUGAAAUAGACUUGUCUGUGAAGAUGCGGACUACCUGCACCUGGACAGAAAGACCCUAUGAAGCUUUACUGUAACUUGAAAUUGAAAUUGGACUUUAUUUGCGCAGUAUAGGUGGGAGGCGUUGAAAAUAUUCUUGCGGGAAUAUUGGAGCCAUCAGUGAGAUACCACUCUUGUAAUGUUAGAUUUCUAACUUUAUAUCAUUAUCUGGUUAAAGAACAGUUUCAGGCGGGCAGUUUGACUGGGGCGGUCGCCUCCCAAAUGGUAACGGAGGCGCACAAAGGUUUCCUCUGAACGGGUAGAAAUCGUAUCUAGAGUGUAAAGGCAUAAGGAAGCUUGACUGUGAGACCUACAAGUCGAGCAGGGACGAAAGUCGGUCUUAGUGAUCUGGCGGUGCUGAGUGGAAAGGCCGUCACUCAACGGAUAAAAGUUACUCUAAGGAUAACAGGCUGAUCUCCCCCAAGAGUUCACAUCGACGGGGAGGUUUGGCACCUCGAUGUCGGCUCAUCGCAUCCUGGGGCGGUAGUACGUCCCAAGGGUUGGGCUGUUCGCCCAUGAAAGCGGUACGCGAGCUGGGUUCAGAACGUCGUGAGACAGUUCGGUCCAUAUCCGGUGUAGGCGUUAGAAUAUUGAGAGGAGCCUUCUUUAGUACGAGAGGACCGAGAAGGACAUACCUCUGGUGUACCAGUUAUCGUGCCAACGGUAAACGCUGGGUAGCUAUGUAUGGAGUGGAUAACCGCUGAAAGCAUCUAAGUGGGAAGCCCACCUCAAGAUAAGUAUUCUCA
rnacentral:rRNA from 1 species